AGAGAUGAGGCUUUUAUGGAGUGGAAAGCCUCCAGAAGGGAGGAGUUAUCUGAGUAUCAGAAACAGAUAGGAGAACAGUAUAUUGCAAAUGUUGAGAAGGACUUGGAAAGGUGGCAAAAUGCCAGGAGGGCAAGAAAAGGAAAUAACGACGUAUUGAAUUUGCAGGAAACCAUGGACAAAGAAUUGGAUACCCAUAGACUUGAGCAUGGUCCAAAGAAAAGGAACAUCCCUGGCGGUAGCAACAAUGAGGACGAGGAUGACGUGGAAGAUAUUAAUGUUGGGGAGGAUGACAUGAUAGAUGACGUACUUGGUGUUGAAGAUAAUGGGCGCAGGGGGGAGGAAACAGCAAAACCCGAAGCUGAUGUCGCGAGUCCAAAAGCUGAUAAUACUGUGCAGUAGAAGCUGUAAGUACCUAUUUGAUUUCAUGUAGUAGUCCUAUGUUUGUGUUUGUAUCUGACCUUGAUUUGUCUUACUAGUUUUAUUCUUGCUUUUUAAAUUAUUGUUUGCGUG
rnacentral:misc_RNA from 1 species